rnacentral:rRNA from 1 species
GACGAACGCUGGCGGCGUGCUUAACACAUGCAAGUCGAACGGAAAGGCCCUGCUUUUGUGGGGUGCUCGAGUGGCGAACGGGUGAGUAACACGUGAGUAACCUGCCCUUGACUUUGGGAUAACUUCAGGAAACUGGGGCUAAUACCGGAUAGGAGCUCCUGCUGCAUGGUGGGGGUUGGAAAGUUUCGGCGGUCGGGGAUGGACUCGCGGCUUAUCAGCUUGUUGGUGGGGUAGUGGCUUACCAAGGCUUUGACGGGUAGCCGGCCUGAGAGGGUGACCGGCCACAUUGGGACUGAGAUACGGACCAGACUCCUACGGGAGGCAGCAGUGGGGAAUAUUGCACAAUGGGCGGAAGCCUGAUGCAGCAACGCCGCGUGCGGGAUGACGGCCUUCGGGUUGUAAACCGCUUUCGCCUGUGACGAAGCGUGAGUGACGGUAAUGGGUAAAGAAGCACCGGCUAACUACGUG